rfam:Capsicum annuum cultivar Zunla-1 unplaced genomic scaffold scaffold1688, whole genome shotgun sequence
GGAUGCGAUCAUACCAACACUAACGCAUUGGAUCCCAUUAGAACUUCGAAGCUAAGCGUUCUUGGACGAGAGUAGUGUUAGGAUAGGAGACUCCCUGGAAAGUCCUCGUGUUGCAUCCC